rnacentral:rRNA from 1 species
UACGUAGGGGGCUAGCGUUGUCCGGAAUCAUUGGGCGUAAGAGCGUGUAGGCGGUCCGGUAAGUCCGCUGUGAAAGUCGGGGGCUCAACCCUCGAAUGCCGGUGGAUACUGUCGGGCUAGAGUGCGGAAGAGGCGAGUGGAAUUCCUGGUGUAGCGGUGAAAUGCGCAGAUAUCAGGAGGAACACCUGAGGUGAAGACGGGUUGCUGGGCCGACACUGACGCUGACAGCGCGAAAGCCAGGGGAGCAAACGGG